GACUGACGCUCAGGUGCGAAAGCGUGAGGAGCAACAGGAUAGAUACCUGGUAGUCCACGCUGUAAACGAUGUCGAUUGGAGGUGUUCCUUGGAGUGGCUUCCGGAGCUAACGCGUUAAAUCGACCGCCUGGGGAGUACGGCCGCAAGGUUAAAACUCAAAUGAAUUGACGGGGGCCCGCACAAGCGGUGGAGCAUGUGGUUUAAUUCGAUGCAACGCGAAGAACCUUACCUACUCUUGACAUCCAGAGAAUUUAGCAGAGAUGCUUUAGUGCCUUCGGGAACUCUGAGACAGGUGCUGCAUGGCUGUCGUCAGCUCGUGUUGUGAAAUGUUGGGUUAAGUCCCGCAACGAGCGCAACCCUUAUCCUUUGUUGCCAGCACGUUAUGGUGGGAACUCAAAGGAGACUGCCGGUGAUAAACCGGAGGAAGGUGGGGAUGACGUCAAGUCAUCAUGGCCCUUACGAGUAGGGCUACACACGUGCUACAAUGGCGUAUACAAAGAGAAGCGACCUCGCGAGAGCAAGCGGAACUCAUAAAGUACGUCGUAGUCCGGAUUGGAGUCUGCAACUCGACUCCAUGAAGUCGGAAUCGCUAGUAAUCGUAGAUCAGAAUGCUACGGUGAAUACGUUCCCGGGCCUUGUACACACCGCCCGUCACACCAUGGGAGUGGGUUGCAAAAGAAGUAGGUAGCUUAACCUUCGGGAGGGCGCUUACCACUUUGUGAUUCAUGACUGGGGUGAAGUCGUAACAAGGUAACCA
rnacentral:rRNA from 1 species